rnacentral:tRNA from 1 species
GGGAGUGUAAGGGGUUCUGGUGUCCCCCCUGGACUUCAAAUCCAGUGUUGCCUGUUCGAAAGCAGGCAUGGUGGGUUCGAUUCCCACACGCUCCCGCCA